GGCAGAUGAGUAUAGCCUUCAAUCAGAAAGCAAUAGAAGCUGACUUCUGGGUCUGUUGUGUUUUGCUCAUUAGGAAUGAUGUUCCUGACAUUCAGCGACAUCCACUUGGCCCCUUUUUCUGAUGAACAGCUCUAUGUGGAACACUUCUCCAGAGCCAAUUUUUGGGUAACGGUUUGGCUGUCAACAGCCCCAACUGAGCCUCUGACUCAUUGGUACCAGGUGUGGUGCCUCCUGCAGACUCCUCUCUUUGCCAAGGAAGGGGAGAUGCUGUCAGGGAAAGUGCUGUUUGUAGCCAAUAAAC
rnacentral:lncRNA from 1 species